UACGGAGGGUGCAAGCGUUAUCCGGAAUCACUGGGUUUAAAGGGUGCGUAGGCAGUUUGAUAAGUCAGAGGUGAAAGCUAGCAGCUUAACUGUUAAAUUGCCUUUGAUACUGUCAGACUUGAAUCAAGUUGAGGUAGGCGGAAGGUGACAUGUAGCGGUGAAAUGCAUAGAUAUGUCAUAGAACACCAAUUGCGUAGGCAGCUUGCUGGGCUUGAAUUGACGCUGAGGCACGAAAGCGUGGGGAUCAAACAGG
rnacentral:rRNA from 1 species